GUAUUCAUACAGGUAAGGGUGUCAUUGCCUGAGAUUAACUGAUGGUUGUGCCACUUAACUAUUCUUCAGGUUAUUGAUCUAUCUACGGUUCACGACUCCUGCAUGCCCAGUGAAGGACAUCAUAAGUGCAGUGCUUGGUGUUUGCUUUAAUUUUGUCUUUGGAUUUGUGGAUUUUAUUCGCCAUGUUGAGCCUUUCAAUAUGCGGCUUGAUGUCUUGGUGUUAUGAAACAUACCAUUGUCUUGGUCCUUUCUACUACUGCACAACGUCAUGGUCCAAACAAUGAAAACCAUGACUGAAAUCAUCAAGCAAUUGACUUCAGACAUGCAUUAAGACACACCUUUAAGACUAGUACCAUGAGAUUGUCACUGCUGUUUUGCGUGAAUAGCGUUCAAUUUAGUCGUUACACAUUUAUUUAGUACUCCUUAAGAAUAACAUGAAACAGUGUGCUCUUAUAUGUUCAAUAUUGUGUCAGGACAAGCCUCUGGCUGCUGAGGUAAAUUACAAAGCACAAGGAUCGAAGAGAUGCGAAGGUGACCAGAAAAGAUGGCUUACAAAAUGUGAUAUCAUUACGUGCACACAGAGUGACACAAUGCUGGAGGUAACCAGAAUGGUGGGAGAAAUAUCUAUGGUGAUCAGCAUAAUAUGAGUGACACAACCGAGUGAAGUUCUCAAGCCAAGAUGUUGAUGGUGUUUGAUGUUUUUGGACCAUUAAUCUUUAGAAAAAUGUUAAGAACAUUCUGUUCUAGUUACUAUUUCAUAUAUUUUUAAGGAUCAUUGAUGUUAAAUGUGAUUUGGACGCAACUCUUGUUGUGCUUGUGAUAUAUUACGAGAUUGUGCAAAAUAUAA